rnacentral:rRNA from 1 species
GCAGCCGCCACGGUAAUACGAAGGGGGCUAGCGUUGCUCGGAAUGACUGGGCGUAAAGGGCGCGUAGGCGGCGGCCAAAGUCAGGCGUGAAAUUCCCGGGCUCAACCUGGGGGCUGCGUUUGAUACUUGGUUGCUUGAGUGGGGAAGAGGGUCGUGGAAUUCCCAGUGUAGAGGUGAAAUUCGUAGAUAUUGGGAAGAACACCAGUGGCGAAGGCGGCUCACUGGACGCGUAUUGACGCUGAGGUGCGAAAGCGUGGGGAGCAAACAGGAUUAGAUACCCCGGUAGUCCCUGUCUCUUAUAC